GAUGAACGCUGGCGGCGUGCCUAAUACAUGCAAGUCGAGCGAACGGACGAGAAGCUUGCUUCUCUGAUGUUAGCGGCGGACGGGUGAGUAACACGUGGAUAACCUACCUAUAAGACUGGGAUAACUUCGGGAAACCGGAGCUAAUACCGGAUAAUAUUUUGAACCGCAUGGUUCAAAAGUGAAAGACGGUCUUGCUGUCACUUAUAGAUGGAUCCGCGCUGCAUUAGCUAGUUGGUAAGGUAACGGCUUACCAAGGCAACGAUGCAUAGCCGACCUGAGAGGGUGAUCGGCCACACUGGAACUGAGACACGGUCCGGACUCCUACGGGAGGCAGCAGUAGGGAAUCUUCCGCAAUGGGCGAAAGCCUGACGGAGCAACGCCGCGUGAGUGAUGAAGGUCUUCGGAUCGUAAAACUCUGUUAUUAGGGAAGAACAUAUGUGUAAGUAACUGUGCACAUCUUGACGGUACCUAAUCAGAAAGCCACGGCUAACUACGUGCCAGCAGCCGCGGUAAUACGUAGGUGGCAAGCGUUAUCCGGAAUUAUUGGGCGUAAAGCGCGCGUAGGCGGUUUUUUAAGUCUGAUGUGAAAGCCCACGGCUCAACCGUGGAGGGUCAUUGGAAACUGGAAAACUUGAGUGCAGAAGAGGAAAGUGGAAUUCUAUGUGUAGCGGUGAAAUGCGCAGAGAUAUGGAGGAACACCAGUGGCGAAGGCGACUUUCUGGUCUGUAACUGACGCUGAUGUGCGAAAGCGUGGGGAUCAAACAGGAUUAGAUACCCUGGUAGUCCACGCCGUAAACGAUGAGUGCUAAGUGUUAGGGGGUUUCCGCCCCUUGGUGCUGCAGCUAACGCAUUAAGCACUCCGCCUGGGGAGUACGACCGCAAGGUUGAAACUCAAAGGAAUUGACGGGGACCCGCACAAGCGGUGGAGCAUGUGGUUUAAUUCGAAGCAACGCGAAGAACCUUACCAAAUCUUGACAUCCUUUGACAACUCUAGAGAUAGAGCUUUCCCCUUCGGGGGACAAAGUGACAGGUGGUGCAUGGUUGUCGUCAGCUCGUGUCGUGAGAUGUUGGGUUAAGUCCCGCAACGAGCGCAACCCUUAAGCUUAGUUGCCAUCAUUAAGUUGGGCACUCUAAGUUGACUGCCGGUGACAAACCGGAGGAAGGUGGGGAUGACGUCAAAUCAUCAUGCCCCUUAUGAUUUGGGCUACACACGUGCUACAAUGGACAAUACAAAGGGCAGCGAAACCGCGAGGUCAAGCAAAUCCCAUAAAGUUGUUCUCAGUUCGGAUUGUAGUCUGCAACUCGACUACAUGAAGCUGGAAUCGCUAGUAAUCGUAGAUCAGCAUGCUACGGUGAAUACGUUCCCGGGUCU
rnacentral:rRNA from 1 species